GGCCGUCCAACUACAUCGGCCGCAGCUCCACCAAAGGGUCUUGGUAUGAAGCUUGGUAAAUCUCAAAAGACAAAUUAGUUUUUGGAAUCAUUGAAAGUAGAAGGUGAGGUCAUUCUUGAAGAUGUUCAGCCAAGGCUUAGCCAAUCUCGGACAACUGCCCCACCACUUAUCGAUGUUGUUACUUUAACUGUUGAGGAGAAAUUAAAUGUGACUCUGAAACGAGAUGGAGGAGUUGGUAGUUUUGAUGUUCAAGACACAUUGUCCCUGCAAAUCCUUAACCAAGAAUAUGGACAUAUUCAACUUCAGUUGUUCUAGCAAAAUCUUUGUGUUGGUGUACUUAAAAGGUAUUGGAUAUUAAAGGAUAUUCACCAAGUCUUGUAUGGGACUUUAAAGAAGACAAGAGGCAUUGUGGUGAUAGUCCUAACUCAUCAGCAGCAUCAAAGGCAUUUCCUUUUCAGUUUGGAUCGAUUGUUCCUGGCUUUAUAAAUGAAGUGGUUGUAAGUUCUGCUAUAUUAUUGUUAAAUGUUUGGUUUAUAUGUUUUCAAUUGAAUUUUAGGGUGAAUAACUGAUCAUGUUAUUAUAAUAUGCAUAUGCCUAUACCAAUUGGGAAUGUUCCACAAGUGCAACAACCGAUUUUUGUUCCUGGUCUUCAGCCUUAUCCAAUGCACCUUCACUGUAUCAUGCAUUCAAGCCAUAACUUAAGUUUCUUAUAUUCGUACAAUAUAUGUUGCUUUUCUUGGAAUGUACACAUGAUGGUUGUUUUUCCUCGCCGUAUUUGGUCUUACAUUUAUUCAAGAUUACAUGUUCGAUGAAAGUGUUUGCCUACAACUUUGGGCCAAGUGGUUCAAGCAUUUAAUUGUUGAAGAUUGUGUUGUUGCUGAAGAAGAUAUCUAUGCAUAGAUUGAAGACUAUUAUUAUCAAAUUAUAUUAUAUUUCAUGUUGUUUAGGUAACAUGAAUGUUCUAAACUUCACCCAUACAUGGAAUGAGUUUUGUUGCCAUUGAAUUGUAAGCAUAAAGUUUCCUGCCAUGUUUUUCCUGAUUUA